AAAAUGGCAGAAUGAGGAAAUAUUGAAGAGAGCAGGAAAGACGAACCAUCGCCUAAAAUGAGAAAGAAGGAAAUAUAAAGAAAAAGACUGUUACAUGGGGAAAAAAUAAGCUAAUGGGCUGUGUGGCAUUUUCUU
ensembl:misc_RNA